rnacentral:rRNA from 1 species
CGCCAGUGGAAGUAAAAGUCGUAACAAGGUUUCCGUAGGUGAACCUGCGGAAGGAUCAUUGUCGAAGCCUCUGCCCCGCAGAACGACCCGCGAACCAGUUGUCUCGAUGCACGCCGGGGCGGCGGGGGGCUCCCGCCCCUCGCCCCUCGGCCGGCCGUGGGGAGCGGGCCCGCGCGGUCCCUCCCCUGGGCCGACGAACAAAACCCCGGCGCCGGACGCGCCAAGGACCCACGGAAACAGGAGAGCACGCCCCAUCGGCCCGGGAACGGGACGCGGGGCGCGGCUCCUCUCGCCGCGAGCGAGAAAGAAUGAAA